CAAGUCGAGCGGAACGGCAGUAUUGAAGCUUCGGUGGAUUUACUGGACGUCGAGCGGCGGACGGGUGAGUAACGGCUGGGAACCUGCCCUGACGAGGGGGAUAACCGUUGGAAACGACGGCUAAUACCGCAUAAUGUCUACGGACCAAAGGUGGCCUCUACAUGUAAGCUAUCGCGUUGGGAUGGGCCCAGUUAGGAUUAGCUAGUUGGUAAGGUAACGGCUUACCAAGGCGACGAUCCUUAGCUGGUUUGAGAGGAUGAUCAGCCACACUGGGACUGAGACACGGCCCAGACUCCUACGGGAGGCAGCAGUGGGGAAUAUUGCACAAUGGGGGAGACCCUGAUGCAGCCAUGCCGCGUGUGUGAAGAAGGCCUUCGGGUUGUAAAGCUCUUUCAGCAGUGAGGAAGGUAGUGUACUUAAUACGUGCAUUGCUUGACGUUAGCUGCAGAAGAAGCACCGGCUAACUCCGUGCCAGCAGCCGCGGUAAUACGGAGGGUGCGAGCGUUAAUCGGAAUUACUGGGCGUAAAGCGCAUGCAGGCGGUUUGUUAAGUCAGAUGUGAAAGCCCGGGGCUCAACCUCGGAACCGCAUUUGAAACUG
rnacentral:rRNA from 1 species